UACGUAGGGACCGAGCGUUGUCCGGAUUCAUUGGGCGUAAAGAGCUCGUAGGCGGCUGUUCAAGUCGAACGUGAAAACUCGGAGCUCAACUCCGAGCCUGCGUCCGAUACUGGCGGGCUUGAAUCCGGGAGAGGGAUGCGGAAUUCCAGGUGUAGCGGUGAAAUGCGUAGAUAUCUGGAGGAACACCGGUGGCGAAGGCGGCAUCCUGGACCGGCAUUGACGCUGAGGCGCGAAAGCCAGGGGAGCAAACGGG
rnacentral:rRNA from 1 species